rnacentral:rRNA from 1 species
CCUACGGGAGGCAGCAGUGAGGAAUAUUGGUCAAUGGGCGGGAGCCUGAACCAGCCAAGCCGCGUGAAGGAAGAAGGCGCCAGGCGUCGUAAACUUCUUUUGUCGGGGAACAAAGGGCGCCACGCGUGGCGUUGUGAGUGUACCCGAAGAAAAAGCAUCGGCUAAGUCCGUGCCAGCACCCGCGGUAUUACGGGGGUUGCGAGCGUUAUCCGGAUUUAUUGGGGUUAAAGGGAGCGGAGGCGGUCCGGAAAGUCAGCGGGAAAAGCCCGGGGCUCAACCCCGGCGAGCCGUUGAAACUGUCGGACUAGAGACGGCGAGAGGUACGCGGAAUGCGCGGUGUAGCGGUGAAAUGCAUAGAUAUCGCGCAGAACUCCGAUUGCGAAGGCAGCGUACCGGCGCCGGACUGACGCUGAGGCACGAAAGCGUGGGUAUCGAACAGGAUUAGAUACCCCUGUAGUC